UUAAAGUUAUUUAACUAAAACUAUAAGGGGGAGGGGGGAACCUUUUCUUGUUAUGUUUAGCUUGGGAAUUAUUUCAUUGUUGCAAUCAAGAUAUUCUUCCGUUGCACUACAAGUGGUACAGCCACAAGGUGCUGUGCUAAAACACGUUUUUAAGGAUUAAGAAGUGCAAAGAAGUUUGUUUAGGAGAAACUGCAACCCUUCAAGUUUAUUCCUCUUGAGUUAGAGAGGCCAAUGAGUUCUGACGGCAAUAUUGGGACAUAAAGGAGUGCAAGGCUAGAAUUUACAAGACAUACUACAGACUCGUGUCCGAAUAAAUGUCAAUUAAAAUCAAGAA